rnacentral:rRNA from 1 species
GACGAACCGUGCGAACGUUGUUCGGGAUAACUGGGCUUAAAGUGUGCGUAGGCGGGUCCGCCAGUCUGUGGUGAAAUACUUCCGCUCAACGGGAGAACUGACGUGGAUACUGCGGACCUCGAGGAAGAUAGGGGCGUGCGGAACAGUUGGUGGAGCGGUGAAAUGCGUUGAUAUCAACUGGAACUCCGGUGGCGAAGGCGGCACGCUUGGUCUUUUCUGAAGCUGAGUCACGAAAGCUAGGGGAGCAAACGGG